GUGGGGAAUCUUCCGCAAUGGACGAAAGUCUGACGGAGCAACGCCGCGUGAGUGAAGAAGGUUUUCGGAUCAUAAAGCUCUUUCGUUAGGGACGAACGUGCUCUUUGUGAAUAAUGAGGAGUAAUGACGGUACCUAAAUAAGAAGCCACGGCUAACUACGUGCCAGCAGCCGCGGUAAUACGUAGGUGGCAAGCGUUGUCCGGAAUUAUUGGGCGUAAAGCGCGCGCAGGCGGGAUAUCAAGUCUGUCUUAAAAGUGCGAGGCUCAACCUCGUGAGGGGACAGAAACUGGUAUUCUUGAGUGUCGGAGAAGAAAGUGGAAUUCCAAGUGUAGCGGUGAAAUGCGUAGAGAUUUGGAAGAACACCAGUGGCGAAGGCGACUUUCUGGACGAUGUCUGACGCUGAGGCGCGAAAGCUAGGGGAGCGAACGGGAUUAGAAACCCUUGUAGUCC
rnacentral:rRNA from 1 species